rnacentral:rRNA from 1 species
GGUGUGGUAACGGCACACCAUGGCUACGAUAGGUAGGGGCCCUGAGAGGGGGAUCCCCCACACUGGUACUGAGACACGGACCAGACUCCUACGGGAGGCAGCAGUGAGGAAUAUUGGACAACGGAGGCAACUCUGAUCCAGCCAUGCCGCGUGCAGGAAGACUGCCCUAUGGGUUGUAAACUGCUUUUAUACAGGAAGAAACACUCUCACGUGUGAGAGCUUGACGGUACUGUAAGAAUAAGGAUCGGCUAACUCCGUGCCAGCAGCCGCGGUAAUACGGAGGAUCCAAGCGUUAUCCGGAAUCAUUGGGUUUAAAGGGUCCGUAGGUGGAUGAUUAAGUCAGAGGUGAAAUCCUGCAGCUCAACUGUAGAAUUGCCUUUGAUACUGGUUGUCUUGAGUUAUUAUGAAGUAGUUAGAAUAUGUAGUGUAGCGGUGAAAUGCAUAGAUAUUACAUAGAAUACCAAUUGCGAAGGCAGAUUACUAAUAAUAUACUGACACUGAUGGACGAAAGCGUGGGGAGCGAACAGGAUUAGAUACCCUGGUAGUCCACGCCGUAAACGAUGGUCACUAGCUGUUCGGACUUCGGUUUGAGUGGCUAAGCGAAAGUGAUAAGUGACCCACCUGGGGAGUACGUUCGCAAGAAUGAAACUCAAAGGAAUUGACGGGGGCCCGCACAAGCGGUGGAGCAUGUGGUUUAAUUCGAUGAUACGCGAGGAACCUUACCAGGGCUUAAAUGUAGAUUGACAGGUUUAGAAAUAGACUUUUCUUCGGACAAUUUACAGUGCUGCAUGGUGUCGUCAGCUCGUGCCGUGAGUGUCAGGUUAAGUCUAUAACGAGCGCACCCCUGUUGUAGUUGCCAGCGAGUCAUGUCGGGACUCUACAGACUGCAGUGCAACUGUGAGAGGUGGGGAUGACGUCAAUCAUCACGUCCUACGUCUGGCUACACACUGCUACAUUGUAAGGACGAAGCAGCACUGGUGACAGACGAAUCUAUAUCUAUCACAGUUCGAUCGAUCUGCACUCGACUCGUGAGCCUGAUCGCUAGUAUCGCAUCAGCAUGAUCGAGUAAUCGUUCAGCUGAACUGCGUAGUCAUGACUGAGUCCUGAUCGUGCCUCAGA